rnacentral:rRNA from 1 species
CAGCCGCCACGGGAAUACAGAGGGUGCGAGCGUUAAUCGGAAUUACUGGGCGUAAAGCGCGCGUAGACGGUUUGGUAAGUCAGAUGUGAAAUCCCUGGGCUCAACCUGGGAACUGCAUUUGAUACUGCCUGGCUAGAGUAUCGAAGAGGGAAGUGGAAUUUCCGGUGUAGCGGUGAAAUGCGUAGAUAUCAGAAGGAACACCAGUGGCGAAAGCGACUUCCUGGUCGAAUACUGACGUUCAUGUGCGAAAGCGUGGGGAGCAAACAGGAUUAGAGACCCCUGUAGCCCUGUCUCUUAUACA